rnacentral:rRNA from 1 species
AUUGAACGCUGGCGGCAGGCCUCACACAUGCAAGUCGCGCGGAUCGGCGGACGGGUGCGUAAUGCCUAGGACUCUGCCUGGUAGUGUGGGAUAACGUUCGGAAACGGUCGCUAAUACCGCAUCCUAUCAGCUUAGCCUUGGUCGCAUUAGCUAGUUGUUGGUGUAAGGGCCUACAAAGGCUACGAUCCGUAACUGGUCUGAGAGGAUGAUCAGUCACACUGGAACUGAGACACGGUCCAGACUCCUACGGGAGGCAGCAGUGGGGAAUAUUGGAAAAUGGGCGAAAGCCUGAUCCAGCCAUGCCGCGUGUGUGAAGAAGGUCUUCGGAUUGUAAAGCACUUUAAGUUGGGAGGCGUUACCAACAGAAGAAGCACCGGCUAACUUCGUGCCAGCAGCCGCGGUAAUUC